rnacentral:lncRNA from 1 species
CCCAAGCUAAUCAGAAGAGGUGGAGAACCUAUUCAGUUUAGGAUUACAAAUGCAAUACGGUAUUUCUCUAAUCUAAUACUCUUGACCACAUUGUUUGGUUUGAUAGUUUAUUUAUUCAUGUCUACUAUCCAAUGUGAUUCGUGUGCUUAUAUGAUUACCUUGAAUGUGAUUUGGAACGCUUUCCUAAAUCUCAUUCAUACUCUGGCCAGAGGUUCUAAAUCAUAUCAUAGAGUAUUCUCCCUCAAACGAUUUGAAGGUUAGAGAUCCCUUGUUGCGCAUUCACUUGUCUCCAUGACUAAGUGGCUUAACCUCAACGAUGCCGUGGACACCCCGAUGGGGUGACUUUGACAUAAUCAAAGAUCAAGGACUUAACCACAAGACAACUGUGAUGCCUCAGGUCAAAGGACUACUUUGCAUCCCAACCAUGAGUUCUCAUGUGACAUGAAUAUGAGAACUCUUCAUUAAUCGUGUUCAGUGAACUCAUUCUCUAUUGAGCACCUACGUACUUGUCUUGAUGUCACACACACCAAUGACUCGAGACUAGUCACUCUCCCUGAGAGAAGACACAUCACGUACUGAUCUUAACGGACUGUCAAUGCCCAAUUGGCAAUCCUAUGAUCAGGAACAUUUAGGAUGUGUCUAUGAAAGAAUGGUCUCAUGAAUCUAACUUCUUUAGAUUGCAUUCUCCCAAUCACAUAUUCCUUGGACUUAUUGUUUAAGCAUAUAACAUUUAUAUGAGACGACUUAAAACAAUAAUCUUUGCCCUUGAUAUUAAACUAGAUUAGUUUAACAUGUGAAAUGUCCGUAAAGUAUCAUCAUAUGAUUGGUUUUAGGGCACAUUUCCAACAAUCUCCCACUUGCACUAGAGCCAAUCAGCUUGGUCAUCAGUGAUGAUACCUCUUCUGUAGUCAUUUCAUAAAUGGCUGAGUAGUAGGCCUAGACAAUGGAUAUCUAUAUGUUAUCCAUAGAAGCAACCUUGAGAAUAACGACGUCACCAUUAUACAUGAUUCUCAAUCAUGUGGUUCAGUCUCUCAUAUGAGUUCGGACCUUGAUGAGACCUUGAUUCCCUGGCUUGAGCUAUCGCCCCAUUAGUGUCGUACACUUUCUGGUUGGAACUGAAUAGAGAGUUCAUAAAUGAACUUUCCCAUCCAAACAACAUUGUUGUAAACUUCUAUAUGGCAAUAUAUUUUGCAUUCAUAAUGGAACACACUAAAGUCAUUACUUUAAUGUUUCCAUCCAAAUAUCUCUUUAGUCAUAAUAAAGAGAUAUCUGUUUAUCUCUUCAUUCAUAAUGAAGAAACAUCCAAUGAUGGAUUAGAUUCACAAUCUAAUACAUUUACGCUUCCAUUACGUUACUCUAAUUCUUCCUCAUUCUUUGAGGAAUCUAUCCUUUAGUAUUUCUUAAAUACUUAAGGAUUCACUUGACAGUUGCCAUGGUUCUGAUCCUGGGCUUGCACUGAUAUCGUCUUGUACCGUUCUAGGUACAACUCAUAUCAAUGUCUUUCAUACAAUAUGAAAUACAUAAAUCACCUUUCCGCUUACGCAUAAAGGAUUAUAUUUACGCAUUUAUUUCUUUGGGAGUCAAAGGGUACGUUCCCUUUGAGAAGAGCAACAUCUUAGUCUCACUAAAGUUGUCCUCUUGAUUGAAGUUUAUCAUCAUAUGAGAAACUUCCUAGCAUCUCUUGUCUAUUAUUAGGGAUUGAUAUAAUCAAAUUAUAUCCUAAAAUCUAUCAUUAUAGAUUUCCAUCCCAUGUAUAUAGACUAUGUCUCCCAUAUACAUUCUAUCUUCAUAUAAUGUUUUAAAGUCAUAACUUUAACGAAGAAGUAUUAUUUUCAUUUCCAAAAUUAAUAUAUCAUAUAUAUUUAAAUUUUAGGAACAUGAUUAACUCCCAUAUACAUUCUAUCUUCAUAUAAUGUAUUAAAGUCAUAACUUUAACAAAGAAGUAUUCAUUUCAUUUCCAAAAUUAAUAUAUCAUAUAUAUUUUAAAUUUUAGGAACAUGAUUUAACUCCCACUAAUCUUUUGUAAACCUAGUAAACAAAAGAUUCAUUUACAUCUUUAUGAGAAAUCAAACGAUUUAAUCCUUUUUCUCAUAAGAUGCUUAUAGCUCCCACUAGCUUGCUAAGAUUCAUGAUGGAUGGAUCUCUACAACUUACAUGUCUUGUGAUUUAUAAUUUUAGACAUAUAUUAUCAAGACUAUCUUAACAAUGGUUUCGGAAACCCAUAUUAUGUCCAAAUAUUGAAUCACCAUUUAGUUGUAGCUAGCAAUCUUCGAAUUAAUCGAAACCAAGACUAUCUCAAAAAUGGUUUCUUCAAAGUCAACCAUUCUCUUUGAUUGUAGUCGCCUUAAGCUACCAAUUAGCUUAUGAAGGUUUCAUUAUUUCGGGUCAAAUGGUAUUUUAUCAUUUCCUUGAGUAUAUAUCAUAUAUACAUUCAAUGUAGUCAUAAGGAUUUUCAUUCUUAUUUCUUUCGAAUUAAGAGGUGCAACUCUAUGACUUAGUCAUAAAGUUCAAACCAUUCAACUGAGACGGUUUAUAAAUCCUUCUAGACUACCUUGGAGCUUGUGGUAUAGGAACUAGGUUGUUAUUUGUUGAUUAUUAUCUUGUCUCUCAAAGAACCCAUUCUUUGAGUUCUAUCUCUCGUUCAUUUGCGUUUAGGCAAAUCAUAUUGUAGGAUUACAAUGAACUACCCAACAAAACAACAUUUGUUAGUUGGUUUAUAGAAGCGAUAUCCAAAAGUUAAUUUAAGGAUAUCCCACAAGAAUGUUAUCAAACAAAUAUUGCUUAUAAGCACACAACCCCAAAUCUUAACAUGCUUAAGAUUUGUCUUUCUUUCCAACUACAUCUUAUGAAGUCAUGAAAAUUUUGGAAGAUCUUCUAAUUGACAAUCAUAUUGUUUUAGAAGUAUAUAUCCUAUAUAUGGGUAAUAGAUAACAUCUAACGAACUAAAUCUUAUUCAAGUUCGUUCUUCUCCUAAUGGAGAAAUUCAUUAUCUUAUGAUGCUUCUUUCCUUGAUAUCUUUCAAGGAAACUCAUCUAAAGUGUUACUUUUCCUUGGAUCAAAUCUAAGGAGGUAAAUACUUUAGACGUCUUACUCAUCAACUUACAUUUCUUGAAUUCUUUGAAACCUUUUGCAAAGUAUUCGGACUUGUGUUUAUUCAAAAUAAACUAUAGUCCAACCGAGAGUGAUCUUCGGUGAAUGUCAUACAACAUGAGUAGUAUUAUUUUGUGGACAAGUGCCACUAACAUCUAAGUGAAUUAACCUCAACAACUUUGUGAUUCUUUCUUCUUUCCAAAAGAAUAAAGAUUCGAACAUUUCGCCUCGAUACAACUUUAACAAGAAGGUAUUGGAUCCGGAUCUAACGAUCCAAAGCAUCCAUCUUUCACCAACUCGUAACUUAUGGUUUUAGAGGUAUCACAACUUAGUUGGGAUUAGUCACUACCUUGCAACCCUUUUGGGUUUUAAGCAUCAUUAUAUUCUAAACAGUUAACACUACCAUAUCAUCUCUACUAUAGAGACAAUCAAUUAGAUUACUAUAAUCCAAGCAUUGAUUAAUAAAGAACAAUGUUUUGUCAAACAAAACAUUCAUCCAUCUCUACUAUAGUAACGGAAUUAAAUUCCUUAAAAUUGGAAUGUAAAGACAAUCUUUGGUUUUUCCAAUUUCUUUGGUAGUUCAUAUGAGGAAGUAAGUACUAUCUGCUUUCAUAGAGAUCUAUAUUUUAUUCACGUUCCGAAUGUGAAGCACCUUUUUUUUUCUCUCAUAUAUCUUCUACUUCUUAUUAGUCACACUUUUACAACGAUUGUAAAACAUAGUUACUAAUACGAAAUCAAGCAUUCAAGUAGAAGAACCAACUGUUUUGAACUUUUUAAGAACAAUUUACAACACCUUCGAAAGGUGUGUUCUUGACACUUGCAAGACAUUUCUUGCAAAUACCCCUUCCAAUGUCCAUCCUUUCAUAAAGAAAGUUUGUUCCCUUGGAGUUAAUUCUUAUCUUCUUCAUUUGACUUUCACCGUUGACUACAUUAGUCAUGGUCCCUAAACUCCCACUAUCUCUCUUGAAACCUUUUUCAAUUGUGUUAUACACAUCAAACAAUUUUGGAGAGCGUGUGGAUAUUGGUCACUAUAUAGUUUACAAUAAACUUAGUGAACCAUUAGGAUAGGGAAACAAAGGUGAAGUCCUUGCCUAGUUUCCGUCUCGUUAAGUGGUUUAACACUUCAACACUCAAUGAUUCAAAAUCAUCAUAAGUCCAUGUUAAUGGACUAUUUUUGUCAACCAACCAUUAUGUUCUAAACAUAAUUACAAACUUUCAAGAGUUGUUCAAGGCAACUCUCAUUUCUUCAUACAACAAUUUGUAAGUGAAGAAUCAUGGCACAUAAAGUGUCCAUGCACUUGUGCUUUCUUCUAAAGUUCCUUGUUCAUGUAACAAAGAAACAAGCACUAAUGUUUGCAUUGACUAAGAGUUGUUCAAAGCAACUCUUAUUUCUUCAUACAACAAUAUGUAAUUGAAGAAUUAUGACAUUAAAAGUGUUGUCCUCUUUAUGAUAGACUUUUCUAACAUAUUCUUCUAAUGAUACAUUAUCAAUAGGAAGAUUGUGAGGAUGAGAUUACUUAGGUACAUUUACAAGCCAUUAAAGAAAAUCUAUGGUUUUGUAGUACCAAGUUCGGAAACUAAAGCUUUCGGCUUUUAUUUGUCAAGUGUUGGAUAACGUUUGCAAAUAUAUUGGUAAACAAAUACAUAACGAAUAUAAAUUGAUUGAUUUUAAGCCAUUUGAUUCGGGUCUUUAAAUCAAAUAGCACCACCCACUAUUUUUGGCAAAUUCCAUAUCCCUCAUUGGAAUUCGAGAGUUUUGGAGGAAACUCUUAGUAGGGUAUGGGAGACUCACUACUACCAAGCCCACCUCAGAAGAAAAAUCAUAUUGGCUAGCGUUAAUAAUAAUGAGAGAGUACGCUUACUCAUUUGCAUCUCUUGCAAGUACCCAUCUAGUUUGGCCUCUAGAGAAUAAUGCCUCAGAAGAAUAUCAUAUUGGCACAUUGCACUUAGUUAAGUCAUUCCCACCAUGCUAGUUCAAGUAGGGGUUCAAGGAUGGCCUCAGAAGAAUAUCAUAUUGACCACACUCGUUGCCUACCUUUCACUUCAUCAUAUGUAUAUAGGCUUCUCCUGAAUGUAAGCACAUACUUUGCAACCCCAGAAUUCGACGAAUACGGUGUAUGAGUCACAAACGAUUGAAGCCCACCACGAUGGAAGGCCACGAAAGAGUGUUCAAAGCACUCUCACGCUUAUCAGCUUAAUAAUGGUUUGGUUGAGGGUUUUAGGUCUCAUCACAUAUAAACAUUCAUUUUAAUCUAAUUAAAACUAUUUGGUCCUAUUACAACUAUUGGUCCAUUUGAUUGUUUUUAGUUGUAUAUAAUACUCCCACUAUGCUUAUAAAACGGUUUUUAAAGCAAGAGUAUAUGAUACUACUAACAUAACCUUUGCAUUCAUUUGAUGGACUAUAUAGUUGCCUUAGGGCCUUAGGAUGACUAUGAACCUUUGUUUAGAUUCAACACGAGCCUAGUGUUGAAUCUCGGUCUAGGGAUGGUGAUUGAUUUUAGUUACGCGUUUAAUCACAUUAAGGCGUGUUGUCUUAGGGGCGUUGGACCCAACUACUUCAUUUUCAUGCAUAUCAUAAUAAAGCAAGAAAGAAGUACUUCAAAGUAAAGGUGAGCUUAUGCUCAUUACAACAUUUGCAUAAAACAAAUUACCUUAAAGUAAAGAAGGGCUUAUGCCCUUUUACAACAUUUGAUCAAAUCAAAUUACAACCAAAAUCUAAUCUACACAUUCCCAUGGUUCAAACAAAUUUGAAACGGCCUUUCACAUAGCUCAAUUAUAUUAUGCUUAGGUUCAUAAUCAUCCUUUAAUUAAUUAACGCUUUAACUAAUUAAAUUGAAUGCAACAUUUUCAUUUGGUUUUUGUAUCCAUAAAAUUGAUUUAAAUGGAGCUAAAUGAAAUGAAAAUCCAAUUCUCAUUUAAAGAGACAAAACAAUUUUGUUCUCAACCUAAUUUGGGCCAAUAUGCAAUAACCACAACUUAUUUGGGCCAUAAAGCAAUUAACCUCAACUUUUGGGCUAUAUUGCAAAACUUUUGGGAUCACUUUGUAAAGACACAAAAGUCCACUACUUCAUGUAAUUACAACUAGAACCCAAAAUUUUAAUAAUGCAAAAACUUCAUUAAAGGAGCAAAACAAUUUGUCCUUUAGCGUUUUUGGACCUAAACGUAAAAACGUAAACUUUUGGACCAAAGUGCAAAUACACAAAAGUAUCAAAACUUUAUGUAAUUGCAUAAAAGCCCCAAAAGUACUCCCUUUGAGGAGUGGCCGGUUUUGGGAGAGGGAUUAGAGUGAUGUGUGUGUUGAUUUGUGAGUUUUGACAUAAAGCAUGCAAGUGGUGCAAGUGGUGUGUGUGAAAGGAAAUUAAUCCUUACACACCCACCAAUAUCUCUUACACCAUUUAAACAAAUAUCUAAAACAUUUAAACAUUUGAAAAUCAUAAAACAUAAACUUUAUGAAAUAAUUCAAAACUUUGAAUCAAAUCACCAAACUUUAUGUUCUUGGCAAAAAUGUCAAGAACAAUGAAGAACACUCAUGAAAAACCCAAAAUUUUUCCAUGAACAUUUUUCACCCAAAAACAUUCCAAAACCAUUCAAACUUAAGGGAAAUAACAUCUAACCAAACUAGGGUACAUAGGGGUUCCAAAAGUCACUUGAAAACACUUUUAACAAGUCAAACAAGAACCCAAAAAUCCACCCUUUGGAUUUGGCCGAAUUUUCCCAAAAGCAUGGCACCAAAUUUUAGCUCCAAUAUUCAUGCUCAUAUGAACUACAUCUACAACAUUUGAGAUGUCAAAUUUUCUAACAAAAUUUACAUUCAAAGAAACAAGAAUAAAGCUUGUAACAUAUUACAACUUUUAAAUCACAAACUAUGAACUACAAAACCCAAUAGGAUUCACCAACUACUAGACCUAGGUUCUGAUACCACUUAAAGGAUUAUUUUGUGAAAACAUGUUCAUUUGAAUAACAUCUAUAGCAUGCAUUUAACAAAUUAAAGGCGGAAUCAUGCUAGCAUGCAUUCAAAAACAAAACAUUACCCAUGAAAUUCAAAGCCUAGUAGAUUGGUGAACCAAAACUCAACUCAAAACAAAGUGAGUGGAAAUCAUACCUUUGUAGAUUCCUCUUUGCAUAAGCAAAGGCUAAUCACCCAUAGAGAGGGCCUUCAUUCCUUGCAUCUAAAAUCUAUGGAUUUGGAUGGAUGAAAAGGUUUCUCCAAGUUCCCAAAAUUGAGAACCUCUAAGUAUCUUCACCAAGGUUAGAUUGGAGAAGAAAUGAGUGACCUUGGAGUAGUAGUAUGGCUAGAUACCCCCUCCAAGGGGCCGGCCUCUUUAGAGAGAAAAGGAGAGACAAGUUCUCACCAAUUUUCUCCAAAAGAAACCCUAAUGAAUUUUGGCUAUAAAGUCAUAUUUAUACCUUUAUUCAUUUGAGUGGUAAACUUGUAAUUAAAGCAAGUUCACUACCCUUCCUCUAAAUGGCUGGCCAUGGGGUUUUGUUUGGGCUUUUGGGCCUUUGUGAAUUAACUUGUCAUACAACUUAAGUCAAUGGACUUGACGUUCGAAGCCCAUUGGGCCUUGAGGACCAAAACUAUCCCGAGGUCUUUAACGAACUUAUUCGUUUGAUUAAUUAACAUAUUAAUUAAUCCUUGCCAUAAAUAAUUAAACCAUUUAAUUAUUCUUACUCAUCUCCAUUGUUUCUUCAAUCUCCACCUUACACGGUGUACGAUCCAUUAGGUUCCUUUUAGCGAGGCAGUGGGCGAUUAAAACCAUUUUACAUCGAUUGUGAAUUGAAACUUACUUUCAAUUCUCCCUUUAGUGAUUACACACGUUUAGGGCUUCCACAAACAAUGAGUGACACCUAGCAGCAUAUCAUGGUUACCCAAGCUAAUCAGAAGAGGUGGAGAACCUAUUCAGUUUAGGAUUACAAAUGCAAUACGGUCUUUCUCUAAUCUAAUAUUCUUGACCACAUUGUUUGGUUUGAUAGUUUAUUUAUUCAUGUCUACUAUCCAAUGUGAUUCGUGUGCUUAUAUGAUUACCUUGAAUGUGAUUUGGAACGCUUUCCUAAAUCUCAUUCAUACUCUGGCCAGAGGUUCUAAAUCAUAUCAUAGAGUAUUCUCCCUCAAACGAUUUGAAGGUUAGAGAUCCCUUGUUGCGCAUUCACUUGUCUCCAUGACUAAGUGGCUUAACCCCAACGAUGCCGUGGACACCCCGAUGGGGUGACUUUGACAUAAUCA